GGGGUCAAGUCAUGGGUGUUGCAAGGAAGCUGUCACAAGAUGAUCCGGUAUUGAACGGCUACAGCACAACCAAGAGAACGAAAUGUACGUCGCAAUCAAGCUAUGUCGUUGCCAUCUUCUAUGUGCCAUGCGUUACCUGAUGUGCCAGCCUGCUAUGUCGGAUACCGCUAACCAUGCAUCGACUAGGCGCCAGGCGCGAACUGAUGGUGGUGGUGGUGGUGGUGGUGGUGAGAAGGAGAGCUCUGUGCCAGAAUAACUUUGCAGUUUAGAGAGCGUGUCUGGGCAGGCGUGUAUUUACCCCCAUAUUGCCAGGUGUGUAUUUACCACCAUAUGAACCAACCAUAAGUGCAGUUGCAGUGGAGUCUUCAACUUCAUUCUCCCGAGUCAAGCUCGUUGUGAAGGCAUCUAUGAAGAAGAUUGCCUGAUGAGUCCAGCCGGGACGAAAGGUACGUCGCAAUCAAGCUAUGUUGUUGCUGUGUCAUCUGCUAUGCGCCAUACGCUACCUGAUGUACCAGCCUGCUAUGUCGGACACCACUCACCCUGCAUCGACUAGGCGCCAGACGCGAACUGAUGAUGGUGGUGGUGGCGGGAAGGAGAGCUCUGUGCCAGAAUAACUUUUCAGUUUAGAGAGCGUGUGUAGGCAGGUGUGUAUUUACCGCCGUAUGAAUCAACCACAGUACGAUCAGCUGACGUUAUAACUUAUAAGGAUGAUCUCGUGCAGCGAUAUUAUUGAUAUUUUUUAAGUCUUUUCUAAGGACUCUCCACUGCAGCGUUUUCUUUCCACUCGGUUCUCUUCUUUUCAUCGCUCAGCUUGCACUUGCAAUGCUUAUACAUACUGAUCAAUCCCGUUCAAUUUUCCGUACAUUUUUCUCAAAAGCCAUAACGCGGACGAAGUAGUGAUUUUCCGUACAAAUAUGGAAAAUACGGAAGGUUGAUAGCACUGUGUUGAGGCAGCUAUUGUUGACUUUAUUUGGAAUUAAUUCUGUUGUAUUUGCACACAUUCCUGAGUGCAUUGUAUUACUAUUAGCAUCCAAUGUGUGUUAUCUGUGCGAGCUUCUAACCUUGUGAACAUUCACCGAAGGUUCGGUUGGUGGCGCACAAGAUCUUCCGGGAUGGCUCUUGCGGGCUCUCAGCCCUGCGUUCACUGCAUAAAACUUGGCAGAACAGUUCAAGUUUCAAUUUAGGCCAUUUCCUCACUCUGUGACUCCCAAUAUUUCACAUGUGCAAUGAUUAUAAGUAUUGUAGAUCA